rnacentral:rRNA from 1 species
CUUGGUCAUUUAGAGGAAGUAAAAGUCGUAACAAGGUUUCCGUAGGUGAACCUGCGGAAGGAUCAUUACAGUAAAUUGCUGUAGACCUGAUGUCUUGGAUUAAAACCGUGGUAUGAAUAAGAUCUACCAUGUGGCCUGUAAUAGGCAUCCAGCAUCGCCUAACCAUGUUAACAUUAACUGAAGCGUAACCUUUGGCAGAUUUUAAUUUGCCAGAAGGAAAGCAUUAAACUCUUUUUUAAUUAAGCUAAUAAAUCAAUAUUUAUCAGUCUGAAAACAAGUUAAUUAUAUUAAAACUUUCAACAACGGAUCUCUUGGUUCUGGCAUCGAUGAAGAACGCAGCGAAAUGCGAUAAGUAGUGUGAAUUGCAGAAUUCAGUGAAUCAUCGAAUUUUUGAACGCACAUUGCGCCCCUUGGUAUCCCGAGGGGCAUGCCUGUUCGAGCGUCAUUUCAACCUCUCAAGCUUUGCUUGGUAUUGGGCAUCAUUAUCUCCUUUUUAAACAAGGGUAAAUGUGCCUUAAAUAUAGGCAGCGGCAUGUAUUAGUUCCGAGCGUAGCAGUUUUAAACAUUUUCGCUUUAGGAGUCUGGUAUAAUGUCAGCUAUAUAGUCAAAGUCUUAACUUUUUAUUUGACCUCGGAUCAGGUAGGGAUACCCGCUGAACUUAAGCAUAUCAAUAAGCGGAGGACAAGAAACCAACAGGGAUUGCCUUAGUAACGGCGAGUGAAGCGGCAAUAGCUCAAAUUUGAAAUCUGGCGUCUUUGGGCGUCCGAGUUGUAAUUUGUAGAGGAUGUUUCGGUAUUAGCUCUAAUCUAAGUUCCUUGGAACAGGACAUCGCAGAGGGUGAGAAUCCCGUACGCGAUUAGUUGCUUUUGCCAUGUGAAACUCCUUCGACGAGUCGAGUUGUUUGGGAAUGCAGCUCUAAUUGGGAGGUAAAUUUCUUCUAAAGCUAAAUAUUGGCCAGAGACCGAUAGCGCACAAGUAGAGUGAUCGAAAGAUGAAAAGCACUUUGGAAAGAGAGUUAAAAAGUACGUGAAAUUGUUGAAAGGGAAGCGCUUGCAAUCAGACCUGCUUGCAGUUGUUAAUCUAGGCCUUGUGUUUAGUGUAUUCUUCUGUAAUCAGGCCAGUAUCGGUUUAGGCGGUUGGAUAAAGAUUUUAGGAAUGUAGCUCUCUUCGGGGAGUGUUAUAGCCUGAUUUGUAAUGCAACCAGCUUAGAUCGAGGACCGCGCUUCGGCUAGGAUACUGGCGUAAUGGUUGUAAGCGGCCCGUCUUGAAACACGGACC